CUUAAAAUUUUUGGUUCAUAGACUCAUAAUAAUAUUUCUAUUUAAAUUUAAAUUAAUAAACCAGAUUUCUCUUUAACAAUCAAUAUAAUUUAAAAUCUAUUUAUUAAUUAAAUAUAAAUAUAAAUAUUUGGCUGGUAGUGCAACUGGUUUAAUGGAGUAACUUUAGUCCUGAAGAAUCACGGUGACGUAUAUUAUUGUUACUGAUAUACUACCCAACAAAACAUCCAAAAAUAACAAUUGUAAGGUUCGAGCAGGCCAAAAAAUUGUGUUUCUGGUAUGAAAAAUAUGUGUGGUUUAGACUUUCACAAUGUCUCAAUAUCAGUAUUCUUGUAAGAAUAACGCCAACAAUCUAACACUGCUGUUUCUAAUAGUCACUAUUUACUGUUUGUUUGUAUCUAAAAUAUUAAACGUGUACUUAUCUAAGCAAA